CUCAUUUAUGAAUGCAGUGUUCUCUUAGGCCAGCUGGGAAUACAGCGACACUUCUCUACAGCCAUGAACGUCUGGACCUCGCUCUGAGGCAAGGUCACCAGGGAUCCCUUGGCCACUUUGGCACCCAGGAUUUAGGGCUGUCGCCAAUCACCGGACCGCAGGCAGCUGGCCUGGAGGGAGCUGCAUGCCGAGGCCAGGGCUGGGCUGCCAACGAGCUCUGCUGCAGCAGAGCAAAUUGUAUCAGAAAGUCCCGUAGCCACACUCUCGAGGUCCUUCAGCUCUACUUGGCAACCCAUCAAUGCUGGGGUUAAUUCCUUUGUCCUAGACGACACACUCUAAGGGCACGUCUGGGACCUGCUGUAAUGUUACACAUUAAUUAUUUAGUAUGACCAGAAAGGAACUUUGCAUCAUGUUCUGGGUAAUAGAUUUAUGGUGCUUCCUGCUGGGCUUUGCACCGCUGCUGCAGCAGGAGCAACAGCAAGGCCACGGCAACAGCAAUUGCUCUGGAAAAAAAGAAAGAUAGCAAAUAGAAGCAAGCUCCUGGUCACAUUCAUUGGGAACGAAGUCCUGCAGCAGGGUACACCCCGUGCCUACAUUUCGCCUGUAGAAAGCAGAAGUGCCUCUCUUCAGAGGAGCCGGACUCUCCGGAGGGAGGAGGCAGGUGUCACGCCAAAGGCUCCGGCACUUCAGCAGGAUGCCUGAGGCUGCAGCGAGGCUUGGCAGAGCUCCCGGGGCUGGCAGCGCCCUCCUCCCUCCUUGUGCUUGCCGUGGAGGUGCACACGAGACGGGCACGGAUGCCAGCUUCAGACAAUAAACCUUCAUGCUGCUUUCCCCA
rnacentral:lncRNA from 1 species